rnacentral:lncRNA from 1 species
GUAUGUUCUUUAACAUUAACACUACUUUCUAUGUCAUCAACACCCCCAUCGGGUUCACCUCUUUUUUUUUCGCAUUAUAGGAUCCACGUUCCGACCCAAUCCUCACCUAUCUAAGUUACCAAGCGUUCCAAGUACACUAGGUUAUCAAUUAGAAAGCAUAAGGAAUGGAGUUACUAUGUAAUCCUACAAUGCAACAUGAAGAGAUGAGAUUAAAUGCAAUCUAAGAUAUAGAAAGGAGUUCGAAAG